ACCUGGCUGGCUCAGCCGGUAGAGCAUGCGCCUCUUGAUCUCGGGUUUGUGGGUUCGAGCCCCACAUUAGGUG
rnacentral:tRNA from 1 species